AAAAGAGUGGAGAUGUAUGUGUUUUAAGCAUGUGCCUACUUUAGAUUGUCUUUUUUCUUUUAUUGGUUUUGUUAAAAAAAAAAAAAGGACAUUUAUUUCCCACACAAUCACAAAAAGGAAAGAAAGAAAGAAAAAGCUUGGCAAAGCAAUAUUUUGUAUUCAUUUCAGGAACUCUCAACCUGAUCGAGAAAAAUGAUGGAACAUCUUCUCGUCUUCAGGUGCCCAAGACGUAUUUAGUCCCUGAGAAUCGUCCUAAGAGAGGCAUUUUCCGGUUAGCCUGCAGCUUCAGGAAGACCCGGCACAGGAGAGAGGCUGGCAGAGCUGAAAGCUCAGAGGAUGACAUCGGACUUGCCGGGGCGCGUAGAGGACAGUGCUGGGCUGGCAGCGGUGCAGAAGUUUCCAGGCUUUCUCCCCUCUGCUCCAGCUGGAAAGGAACCCCAGAGGAGCUCAGAAAAUCACGAAUGGAGUGGAAGAACAGCCUCAGAAAAGUCAGGAUGCCAAAUCAUCAUGGUUUGAUUUCUGCUUUCAUGCACAAGCAGUUUUAGAGAAAGCAAAGCAAGACGUAUCAGAGACACCACAAACCUAGUCUGGAGACACGUUCUUUAGCAGACAACCCCCGUACCCUGCUGUGUUGUCCUCA
rnacentral:lncRNA from 1 species